GCAUUAGUCGAUGCCACGGUAGCUCAGUGGUAGAGCUCCUGCAUAUGGUGAGCGAAAGCGCCUAGCGAUAAAUGUCAGGAGGUCGCAGGUUCAAUCCUGCCCGGCUGCU